AUUCGGUCUCUCUCUGUAUUGCAGAAAACCAGGGGCACUGAAUCCAAAGAAGGACACUUCCGUCCGACAUCUCCACCUCCUCCGAAUUGUGUCAAACUAAGACAGAACACUAAACAUAUUUUGAAGGUCAGCCUGAUUUACCACUGCAAAAGGGCCCAGGAUCCUCCUAAGUCAGGGGAAAACACUCAUUUGCCCCCCUUCUCCAAACUCCAAAGACCAGAGAACUUCCUCUGCUUGCUUUCAACAACCAGUGAUCCAGCAGAAUUUAGCUAAAUCAGUAAGAAGUCACAGAUGUAUCUUGUAAGCAUUCAGAGUUCCCUUUGUCUUAAAGCAUUUCUGCAGUAGCUUUUCAGAAGAACAUCUGUUGUGGCUCACACCAAAGAAUGACCCAUUCCAGCAGGCUGUGAUGGAGGCCAGCAGCAGGCACCUUCCAAGGGUACAAGAAUAAAGCAAGCCUACGGGGACAUUCAUUCAGAAUGCACACCCAGUCCCUAACAACGUGCAGCUCUGGGACUACCUGAGCUACAGAUGGCUUUUCUGUGUUCAGUAAAAGACAGACAGCAGACAUAUAACGGAGAAUCCUUCAUUGUUCAGCACAGUUUUGUCACACACUUGGAAUCUGUCAUGGCGUGGGAAGAUUCUGACACAUGAAGCAAUGCUGUAUCUGAAGAGUUCAAUUCCCACAGGAGCUCUCUGGAGUUCAGCAUCUUUAUUGCUCUUCAAGAAGAUAAAAAGCAAACAGCAAAGGAAAAGGAGCGAGGGAAGGAAGGUCCAAAUCCCCGCUGCAAGCUAAGAGCUCCUAUGGGAACCAAAAUAACACAGGAAGGGCUGCAAUCCACAAAGCUUGGCUUCACUGAGCCCUGGCUAGUCUGUCUUCAGGAGAAGCCAGGCAAGGCCAGCUGACUGGAAAACAACCCAGCAAGAGUCACCACACAGCAAAAUUAUCAAGGAGCCCCUGGCAGCUUGUCCCAGGGGUG